GUGGUAAUGCCGGAUGUUCCAGUUGAUCGCAUGGUCUUCUGGGAAAGCUUUCGCGGUAUGGGAUGGGGUCGCGUCCUAUCAGCUUGACGGCGGGGUAACGGCCCACCGUGGCUUCGACGGGUAGCCGGCCUGAGAGGGCGACCGGCCACAUUGGGACUGAGAUACGGCCCAGACUCCUACGGGAGGCAGCAGUGGGGAAUAUUGCACAAUGGGCGCAAGCCUGAUGCAGCGACGCCGCGUGAGGGAUGGAGGCCUUCGGGUUGUAAACCUCUUUUAUCGGGGAGCAAGCGUGAGUGAGUUUACCCGUUGAAUAAGCACCGGCUAACUACGUGCCAGCAGCCGCGGUAAUACGUAGGGUGCAAGCGUUAUCCGGAAUUAUUGGGCGUAAAGGGCUCGUAGGCGGUUCGUCGCGUCCGGUGUGAAAGUCCAUCGCUUAACGGUGGAUCCGCGCCGGGUACGGGCGGGCUUGAGUGCGGUAGGGGAGACUGGAAUUCCCGGUGUAACGGUGGAAUGUGUAGAUAUCGGGAAGAACACCA
rnacentral:rRNA from 1 species